UGCGAGCUGAGCAGACAGGGCUGCAAGGAAAUCUGGCGCGGUUCAAUACCUCGUCUAGCCUGGGUUCCAGUAUCUAAUUUUUUUUUAACUGACAAACUCAUUUCUCUACCGGGACAGGAUGCUCUGCUGGCUGGAAGUUCCAUUUCUACAGCAAGAAUCCUAUCUGGAAACACAGAAGUUGUCCUCUAGCCACAGCAGCUCGAACUUUUUUGAUUGUUGUUGCUGCUUUCUCCCAUCACCCCCACCCCCUUUUGACAAAGAUCCAACUGUAAAAAGUCUUACGUAACAGUUCAGGACUACUUCGGUUCUUUUACUGGAAUAUCAAGAGGCCUCAAGAAGACUAUGAAAACAAUUACAUGUCCAAGUUGGAGCAAUGUGGGUUUCAAUAUUUUUUAGUACCUUUGGAAAAGGAAAAGAGCUGAUGGACAUUUGGAUUGCUUCCAGAUUU